rnacentral:lncRNA from 1 species
GAACAGAGCGCCCCUUCCCGAACAUUCUCGAAAUUCCCAGCAUCCCAAAUAAAAUCCGCGCCCCGGCCGUCCCUGGAUCCAUCAGUUCCAUCGCGAUUCCCAACUCGCAGCAAGCAAUCAAGCGAUUCCCCUCAGAUCUAUAUAGAGUUCUACGUAGCUCCGAUUUCGUCUUCGAGUUCCUGUUUCCCCGUUCCGUUCGAGCUUAGAGAGAAGGACAUGGCGAAGGGAGGAGAGGGCCCGGCGAUCGGCAUCGACCUGGGCACCACCUACUCGUGCGUGGGCGUGUGGCAGCACGACCGGGUGGAGAUCAUCGCCAAUGACCAGGGCAACCGCACCACGCCCUCCUACGUCGGCUUCACCGACACCGAGCGCCUCAUCGGCGACGCCGCCAAGAACCAGGUCGCCAUGAACCCCACCAACACCGUCUUCGGUACGUCCUCCUGCACCACUCCUCUUCUACUAGCUUAGAUAGAUGGAUCAUCUCGUGUUCGUGCUUGUACUGCUACGGUUGAUAAUAAUGUGCUCGGUUAUGAUUAUGUGCGCGUAUGCGUUUUUUAUGUGAUUUUGUUUGGAUCCAACUCCUCGUAGGACGCUAGUAGUAUCGCAGUGCAAAUCAAUUUGUUUGCUGGGCUUAACGAGUAGCAGAGAUUGCUGGCAUUGUCUGUAUUUGAAGAACUGACGGAAAUAUAUGCAGUAAUCUGGUCUUAGUUUAAAGUCCCCUUAGUUCCAGUACAAGAUUCUGCUAAAAACUUUGCUGAUUAAGAUUUCUAUGUUGAAACCUGUUCACGGGUCAACAAUGGAAAGGAAGAUAACUUGUUGGGUUGGCUGUUUCUGUUGAAACUAUUUGUUUGGGGGCAGGACAACAUUGUGGAUAAAUUUCAGUUUCCUGUUUGGAGCUUGUCAAAACUCAGCUGUUGCUCUGCUUAUUUGCUUUUUGUGCCCAAAUAAGUUUGAUUAAUUUGAGCGCAAGUCGAACUGUUGGACUGACAUUCUUGCUCUAUCUCUGUCGCAGAUGCCAAGCGGUUGAUCGGAAGGCGGUUCACCGACCCGUCCGUGCAGAGCGACAUGAAGCUGUGGCCGUUCAAGGUCAUCCCAGGCCCUGCUGACAAGCCGAUGAUCGUCGUCCAGUACAAGGGUGAGGAGAAGCAGUUCGCCGCCGAGGAGAUCUCCUCGAUGGUGCUCAUCAAGAUGAAGGAGAUCGGUGAGGCCUACCUCGGCACCACCAUCAAGAACGCUGUCGUCACGGUGCCGGCCUACUUCAACGACUCGCAGCGGCAGGCCACCAAGGACGCCGGGGUCAUUGCCGGCCUCAAUGUGAUGCGCAUCAUCAACGAGCCCACUGCCGCCGCCAUCGCCUACGGCCUGGACAAGAAGGCCAGCAGCUCCGGCGAGAAGAACGUGCUUAUCUUCGACCUUGGUGGCGGCACCUUCGACGUGUCGCUGCUCACCAUCGAGGAGGGCAUCUUCGAGGUGAAGGCCACCGCCGGCGACACCCACCUCGGCGGCGAGGACUUCGACAACCGCAUGGUGAACCACUUCGUCCAGGAGUUCAAGCGCAAGCACAAAAAGGACAUCAGCGGCAACCCUCGCGCGCUGCGCCGGCUGCGCACGGCCUGCGAGCGCGCCAAGCGCACCCUUUCGUCCACCGCGCAGACCACCAUCGAGAUCGACUCGCUGUACGAGGGCGUCGACUUCUACUCGACCAUCACCAGGGCCCGGUUCGAGGAGCUCAACAUGGACCUGUUCCGGAAGUGCAUGGAUCCCGUGGAGAAGUGCCUGCGCGACGCCAAGAUGGACAAGAGCACCGUGCACGACGUCGUGCUCGUCGGCGGCUCCACCCGCAUCCCCAAGGUGCAGCAGCUGCUGCAGGACUUCUUCUACGGCAAGGAGCUGUGCAAGAGCAUCAACCCCGACGAGGCCGUGGCCUACGGCGCCGCCGUCCAGGCCGCCAUCCUCAGCGGCGAGGGCAACGAGAAGGUGCAGGACCUGCUCCUGCUGGACGUCACGCCGCUGUCCCUCGGCCUGGAGACCGCCGGCGGCGUGAUGACGACGCUCAUCCCGCGGAACACCACCAUCCCGACCAAGAAGGAGCAGAUCUUCUCCACCUACUCGGACAACCAGCCGGGCGUGCUGAUCCAGGUCUUCGAGGGCGAGCGCGCGCGGACCAAGGACAACAACCUGCUGGGCAAGUUCGAGCUGUCCGGCAUCCCCCCGGCCCCCCGAGGCGUGCCCCAGAUCACCGUAUGCUUCGACAUCGACGCCAACGGCAUCCUGAACGUGUCGGCCGAGGACAAGACCGCCGGCGUGAAGAACAAGAUCACCAUCACCAACGACAAGGGGCGGCUGAGCAAGGAGGACAUCGAGAAGAUGGUGCAGGAGGCGGAGCGGUACAAGGCCGAGGACGAGGAGCUGAAGAAGAAGGUGGAGGCCAAGAACGCGCUGGAGAACUACGCCUACAACAUGAGGAACACCGUCAAGGACGACAAGAUCGCGUCCAAGCUCCCCGCCGACGACAAGAAGAAGAUCGAGGACGCCAUCGACGGCGCCAUCAGCUGGCUCGACACCAACCAGCUCGCGGAGGCGGACGAGUUCGAGGACAAGAUGAAGGAACUGGAGGGCGUCUGCAACCCCAUCAUCGCCAAGAUGUACCAGGGCGCUGGCGCCGACAUGGGAGGCAUGGGCGGUGCCGCCGGCAU